UACGUAGGGGGCGAGCGUUGUCCGGAUUCAUUGGGCGUAAAGAGCUCGUAGGCGGCUUGGCAAGUCGGAUGUGAAAACUCCAGGCUCAACCUGGAGCCGCCAUUCGAUACUGCUAUGGCUAGAGUCCGGUAGGGGAGUGUGGAAUUCCCGGUGUAGCGGUGAAAUGCGUAGAUAUCGGAAGGAACAUCAGUGGCGAAAGCGACUUCCUGGACCAAUACUGACGCUCAUGUGCGAAAGCGUGGGGAGCAAACAGG
rnacentral:rRNA from 1 species